ensembl:lncRNA
UGUCCCUCAUGACAUAAUUCUGUUUUCUUUAAGCUAAAAAGCGGAAGAAGAACUUGUCACUUCCUUUUAUCCUCUCAGCAGAUGAAAGAAUAAAGAAAACUUCAAUAAGUCUUGAAACCAGCCUUUUUUAAAAUUUAUUUAUUUUAAAACCCCUCUCAUUCGAGGCUUAUCACUGACACUUUGCUUCAGUUCAGAGCCGCUUACACGUUAUUCUGAAAGCUGCUGAGUGGAUCAACAGUGAGCAGACAUGGGAGCUGUAGUUGGAUUGUUUUUGAUGAUGUUUGGAGUUGUUCAUGGUGUGGAAAGUUACUGUGACGGCAGACCAGAUGGAGCUCAUUGUUAUGGAACUUUGGGAGGAACUUUGGACAUCAAACUGAUGGACAGCACCUCAGAAAUAUUCAGAUUCCUACUGUUCAAGUAUAUAUAUGUAAUACUAAAUGGAAGAAGGAACAAUCCUAAACAUAAUACAGCAGAUGAAAGAUUUCUCUUUUAUCUCAGUAAUGGAACACUUAGGAUACAUAACCUGAGCAGUACAGACAGCGGUAAAUAUACCUUUUCGACCUUUAAUUCAGAUGGACAAAGAUCAGCUGAGCGGACUUUACAGCUUUUUAUUCAAGGUACUUCCUGGUUCAUACAUGGUUUGAAAGCAGUGGUGGUAAUUAUAUCAUUAAGUGGGAUUUGGAUCUAUUUCACUUGGAAGAAAAAAACAAUAUUGGAAGGCUCUGCUGUCCCACAAAGGAUGGAAUCUCCAGAUAACUCUGUUUUAAUGACUGAAAUGAGUCCUUACUCCAACACUUAGUGUCACCUUUCACCUGCUGUAAAUUCACUGUGUGUCCUUACAGAUGUGCAAAUGAGGACUAGGGUGAUUUUUCUUCUUUUUCUUCCUUCUUUUGUCAUAUGUAGUGCACAAGGACAAAUUUGUUUUCACCUUUUGGUGUGUUUGUGUUACAUUUUAUAAUAAACCAUAUAGUUCACAAUGUGAUUUCAGUGUGUGAAUAAAGAGGUAACAAAAAUGUUUAUUUCUGGUUCUUAAAAGCAGGAACAAUCAGAGAAAAAAAGACCAUGGAAAAGAGGAGAGCAAAAACUUUAGAGGAAAGGAGCUAAAGAACUGAAAUAACAUCUGAGUUGAACAUUAACAAUCAAGUUAAAAAUGAUCACGUUUUUAUGUUGUGUAGUGUCGGGCAACAGAACUUCAACUUGACUGCAUUUAGCUGGAUUUGAGCAGAUAUUUUGUCUCUGAACACCUCAGAAUACAUUCGGCUGCGUCUGUCCUGUGUCAUCAAUAAACACUAGUGUCCCAGUUUCACCGGCAGCCAUGCACACCCAAGCUGCCAUACUGCCUCCGCUGUGUUUUACAGAUGAUGUGGUAUGCUCUGGAUUAUGAGCUGUUCUACGUCUUAACCAUCUUUUUUCUUGCCAUCAUUCUGGUGAAGGUUGAUUUUGGUUUCAUCUGUCCAAAGAAUUUUUUUCUGAACUUGCAGCUGGCUUUUUUAGAUGUCCAAUCUAAAUCUAAUCUAGCCUUUCUAUUCUUGAGGUUUAUGAGUGGUUUGCACUUUGCAGUGAACUCUCUGUAUUUUUUUUCAUGCGGUCUUCUCUUUUAAAUGUGGAUACCCUCAAAUGAAAGCUGAGAGGCUACACGUUAUGUCCAUUAUAUAUCUAUAAUCUGAAAAUGUUUUAGUAAACAGGUAAAAAAAAAAUGUGUCAGUGUCCAAAUAUAUAUGGACGUAACUGUACAUACAAAUUGUUAUAUGUUUUUUUUAAAUACAUAGAGUGAGAAAGUGCUGACUAGAUUGAAAGAAUACUUUGAGGAGCCGAUGAAUAUAGAAAAUAAAAGAGAAAAGGUAAGUCAGGAAGUGCAGAGGAUUAGUAAGGAGGAAGUACGGGCAGCUAUGAAAAGGAUAAGGAGUGGAACAGCAGUUCAUCCAGAUACACACCUAUGGAGGUAUGGCGAUGUCUAGCAGAGAACAGCGGCUUUUUACCAGAUUGCUAAACACAAACUUGGAGAGUGAGCGGAAUGGAGAAAAAGUGCAGUGGUACCAAGGAUGAGUACAGUACUGUAGUAACUGCAAAAGCUGUUGUGCCAUAAAGUGAAGAUAUGGGAAAGUGUCUUUGAGCUGGGCUGAGAAGUAAGAUGACAAUCUGUGAGCAGCAGUAUAGCUUCAUACUGAGAAAGAGUGAUACAGCUGUCAUGUUUGUUUUGAGUGUUGAUGGAGGAGUAAAGAAAAUGCCAGAAGGAGUUGGACUGCGAAAAAAUGUGAUAGGGUGCUAACAGAGGAACUGAGGA